GACGGAACCGAGCGAACGUUUGUUCGGGAAUCACAUGGGCUUAAAGGGCGCGUAGGCGGGCUGUCGAAGUCUGGGGUGAAAUCCCGCGGCUACAACCGUGGAACUGCCUCAGAUGACUGACGGCCUCGAGGGAGGGUAGGGGCGAGCGGAACUGAUGGUGGAGCGGUAGAAAUGCGCAGAUAUCAGGAAGAACACCCGUGGCGAAGGCGGUUCUCUGGGACGGUACUGACGCUGAGACGCGAAAGCGUGGGGAGCGAACAGG
rnacentral:rRNA from 1 species